CAAGAAAAAAUAGCAAAAGAAGUCAGCCAAAUGUGACACCAGUGUGUUUUGUGGACUGUUUUACAAAUUAGCCAAUACAAAAGCAACCACUAUCUCUGCCUCAUUAAGAAAAGAGAUGUUCUGUGAAGGAGUGGAUGGCUCUGAGGACUGGUAACAUGAUGUAAAGCUCAGGCAGAUAAUAUAGGAUUCUGUGCCGAAAAAUGCCAUACUCAUUUCAGGGAGUUAAUGUGCAUGAUCCCUUUGAAGUCACAAGCUGUGGGAAAGAAGGGCAGCGCUCCCACGCUCAGGGAAAAAUAAAAAAAGUAUGCAUUUAUCAAGCUGGCAUUUGCCCUCGGUAGAAGACUUGUCCUGCUUAUCUACUGUGCUCCUUUCUGUUCUCAAGACAGUUGGUAUGGCUACUUCCAUCUUUUCAUGUUCUCUGUAU